GCGACUUCACGCAGAGGCUCUGGCCUAGGGGCCCCCUGAGCUCAUGGGCCCCUGGGCCUGGGCCCGGUAGGCCCGUUCGUUAAUCCAUCCCUGCUCCUGGGGCACGGACGCACUUAAACGGUUAUUCCUUUGGUGUCACAAAUCAGUAACCAUGGACAGCCAUCCUAAUUAGUGUAAACACCAUCUACGGAAGGUGAAAAUCACACAGGCACCGAUGCUAAUCGGAUAAUAAUUUUGUAACAGUUACUGCUGCUCCCAUGCUGCUUUGCACUAACUCAGUUUUACAGGAGAGCAGUCACGACGCCGCUCUUCUGGCGCUGUCCCUGGUACUGAAAUUGAGAGUGGGCGGAUGCUUAUUUUUGGUUGGCUUAGAACAACGUUCACAUACCCAGUUAAAAUAUGUAUUCUAAACACGACAAGAGGAGCCGGUUCUGUAUUAUAAUCACGACGACCCUGUUGCCUACCCAAGCGUGGAUGAGCAACUCAUAUGAGAAAUCGUUUCCCGGAGGACUUUUGUGCUCAUCAGUGCACAUGUGAUUUCAGUUCCCCGCAGACAUGAGAACCGGGCUCUGACGGCGAAGCCGUAAAUAUCUGCAUGCGCAGUCGAUUAGCUCAAAAGCUGCCGGCCCUGAUUUUCUUCAGGAGCGAGGCUAUGUUCUGUCCGAGAAGCUCGGACUCGCGUGCCAAUCAUCGGCCACGUAGCCGUGGUUAUCAGAUUAUCUAUGUUUGUUUCCUCUCAGCGGACUGCAACUCACAUGUCGAAACGAAUUCAGAGUCGCGCCCUUCUGUCCACUUGAUGCGCUAUGAUUGUGAUGGGCAAAACAGAAACGGUUAAUGCGGACAGAUCAAAGACGCGGAAACAUCACAGCUCCCUGAUUUAAUCACGCGCCUUCCCCCAGGCUAGAUUUAUAAUCGUUUCUUUAACAAUGUGCGCUCAUCUGUUUCUAGGUUGGAACAGUCCGAAUUCAUAUUCUCCCUCAUAUCAUAAAAGCAUGGAGAGAUAAUUGGCCGCGUUCAGUACAUUCAUAAAAUCCCUUAAUGGGUUAAUUUAAUCCAGAGAUUACAGGGAUUUAAAGUAAAGCAGACAUGCGUGUGUGUCGCUCUCAAGUGAAUUAUUAAUCUGUCUGUGUUUGACCAAGUCAGCACUAGCACUUCGAUGUGUGUGUGUGUGUGUGUGUGUGUGUGUGUGAAAGGAGAUUGAGAGUGUGAGGGAGACAGUCUGCGUGUGGGCUAUUCGAGCUGUAUAUAAUAUACUAAACGGGCCAUUAUUCGUUAUGGAAAACUGAGGAGUCAGUGAUUGAUUGGGCGACUAAAUCAGUUUUCUAUUUUUGUUUAGACAGGGACAUGACAUAAGUAACAAAAUAUGGGAUGACACCAUGGAAGUUUACAUGAAAUAGGCCACAGACAGAGAUGUUGACAAAGGUAAGGGGGAAGUCAGGUCAGCAUUGGCUGUCUUUAUUGCUACAAAAAUAUGCAUGUAAGCUUUCUUUACCAAAAUUCAGUUUCCAGGGCGGUACACUUGCUAACGACGCCACACAACCCAAAAAUAAAGCCCCUGUUAAAAGCUAAAUCUCUCGGUAAGCUUACAUCGACUACGAGGCUGUUAUCCGGGUAAAGGGAUUUCGUUUAGACUUUUCCCUGUCGUGCAGGCAGUGGCGUCCUUCUCAUCUGAAAGAGUCUUCAUUUGAAGGAUUACAAUGAGCAGAGAAAAGGCGCACGACUGAGACCGCGAUGACUCUAACACUUGUUUUUUUUUUAGCAGAUUCAGGAGAUUUUAUAAUAGUUGUGGAUUACAACACUUUAAGUGAGACUUGUUGAUCACGCAUAUAUUAUAUGUAUGUUUUGGCAGUUUGACAGUUCUAAAAAGUGCGUUACCCUGUUUUUUUCCCUAAGGGAUUCCUAGGCCCUCAAAUACAAUCUUUCCAGAUUGCAUUUAACAACUGAGUACACCAACACCAGGAAACUGAGUAGGCCAAUGACUUAAGAUAGAGUUUUGAUAGCUUUGCUGCUAACAUACGAAUUUGUGAUGUGAAAGGUAAAAAAAGACUGCAUAGUUCAUCAGUGGUCAUUUCUCCUGGUAACUGUGUGAAAAACCUGGUGCAUUGCCCUUGAUUCCUUAGUUCAGCUUUACAUUUAGCAAAGUGAGGGCCUGUUGAUAUAAAAGUUUAAAAAAAAUACCAAUUUUAACACUCCUUCCCAUCUCUUCUCCAUCUCACUCCCUCUUUCUCUCUCCCUCUGUCUACCUUGGUAAUGAUUAAGCAUCCCAGAUUAGCACCCGAGUAGGUAAACACCAUUAGCAGAGCGAAUCAGCCAAUCAGCAACCAGAACACUGGGUCCCUGGUGACAGCUGACCUGCUCCUUGUGCCUCUGGAUGUUUCCACGGAAACCUACUGUACAGCGACAGCAGAGCUGUGACAGUCUCAGUAUGCACACAGUUGGUCCUGCUUCCUCUAGUAUCUAGUGGGGUCUGUGCCAGGCUUGGCAGAAGGAUGCUCAGCAUGAUGGAGAUGAGAAAGGCAAGAUGGAGGAAGAUGCAUGGUGGAUGGAGCAAUAAAGCUGGGAUGCAGCCAGUAGCUCCCUCUAGCAACGAGUCCUGAGAGGUGCAAGGACAGACUGAAAGAUUGUCUCAGCUGCAGCAAAAUGAUGCACUAAUACAAACCAGACUAGAUAUGUGCUCUUUUUGAAGAUGGAGAAUGUACUGGCACUGACUCUCCUGCUUAGUUGUCUGAUUAAGGGGAGUUCCCAGAGAAAAACAGAGACUAUCCCACAGAAGAGGAGAUGAAGACUUAAUUGCAAGUUUAUGUCCACGUCCAGGAAGACCAACCCAGCCAGCUUGACAGACAUCUCAUAGAAUGAGAUAAUGGACUUCAAGUGGGAAGCCAACCUUGUUUGUGGUGGCACUUGCUGCAGUUUAGUAGCAAAAUCUAGAUUAGUUGAGUAUCUCAAGAUUGUAUCUUAUAAAUCCGUAAGAGACCUGCAGCAACAUCAAUGUUUUCUGACUAAUCCCUGAUGUUGAGGCGCUAUAAGAUUAGUCAUCACUUGAUAACAACAGUAAAUACAAAUGUGUUGUUUAUGGAAGGAAACUGAAUCACAGGCUAUUGAAACACUAGCAAUUUGCCAUCUC